rnacentral:rRNA from 1 species
UUCAGUGCUGCAGCAAACGCAUUAAGCACUCCGCCUGGGGAGUACGACCGCAAGGUUGAAACUCAAAGGAAUUGACGGGGGCCCGCACAAGCGGUGGAGCAUGUGGUUUAAUUCGAAGCAACGCGAAGAACCUUACCAGGUCUUGACAUCCUUUGACCACUCUAGAGAUAGAGCUUUCCCUUCGGGGACAAAGUGACAGGUGGUGCAUGGUUGUCGUCAGCUCGUGUCGUGAGAUGUUGGGUUAAGUCCCGCAACGAGCGCAACCCUUAUUGUUAGUUGCCAUCAUUUAGUUGGGCACUCUAGCGAGACUGCCGGUGACAAACCGGAGGAAGGUGGGGAUGACGUCAAAUCAUCAUGCCCCUUAUGACCUGGGCUACACACGUGCUACAAUGGGAAGUACAACGAGUCGCUAGACCGCGAGGUCAUGCAAAUCUCUUAAAGCUUCUCUCAGUUCGGAUUGCAGGCUGCAACUCGCCUGCAUGAAGCCGGAAUCGCUAGUAAUCGCGGAUCAGCACGCCGCGGUGAAUACGUUCCCGGGCCUUGUACACACCGCCCGUCACACCACGAGAGUUUGUAACACCCGAAGUCGGUGAGGUAACCUUUUUGGAGCCAGCCGCCUAAGGUGGGAUAGAUGAUUGGGGUGAAGUCGUAACAAGGUAGCCGUAUCGGAAGGUGCGGCUGGAUCACCUCCUUUCUAAGGAA